GAUGAACGCUGGCGGCGUGCCUAAUACAUGCAAGUCGAGCGAACAGACGAGGAGCUUGCUCCUCUGACGUUAGCGGCGGACGGGUGAGUAACACGUGGAUAACCUACCUAUAAGACUGGGAUAACUUCGGGAAACCGGAGCUAAUACCGGAUAAUAUAUUGAACCGCAUGGUUCAAUAGUGAAAGACGGUUUUGCUGUCACUUAUAGAUGGAUCCGCGCCGCAUUAGCUAGUUGGUAAGGUAACGGCUUACCAAGGCAACGAUGCGUAGCCGACCUGAGAGGGUGAUCGGCCACCCGGGAACUGAGACACGGUCCAGACCCCAAGGGGAGGCAGCAGUAGGGAAUCUUCCGAAAUGGGCGAAAGCCUGAAGGAGCAACGCCGGGGGAGGGAUGAAGGUUUUCGGAUCGUAAAACCCUGUUUUUAGGGAAGAACAAAUGUGUAAGUAAAUAUGCACGUUUUGAAGGUACCUAAUCAAAAAGCCACGGCUAACUACGU
rnacentral:rRNA from 1 species